GAUGAACGCUGGCGGCGUGCCUAAUACAUGCAAGUCGAGCGAACGGACGAGAAGCUUGCUUCUCUGAUGUUAGCGGCGGACGGGUGAGUAACACGUGGAUAACCUACCUAUAAGACUGGGAUAACUUCGGGAAACCGGAGCUAAUACCGGAUAAUAUUUUGAACCGCAUGGUUCAAAAGUGAAAGACGGUCUUGCUGUCACUUAUAGAUGGAUCCGCGCUGCAUUAGCUAGUUGGUAAGGUAACGGCUUACCAAGGCAACGAUGCAUAGCCGACCUGAGAGGGUGAUCGGCUACACUGGAACUGAGACACGGUCCAGACUCCUACGGGAGGCAGCAGUAGGGAAUCUUCCGCAAUGGGCGAAAGCCUGACGGAGCAACGCCGCGUGAGUGAUGAAGGUCUUCGGAUCGUAAAACUCUGUUAUUAGGGAAGAACAUAUGUGUAAGUAACUGUGCACAUCUUGACGGUACCUAAUCAGAAAGCCAGGGCUAACUACGUG
rnacentral:rRNA from 1 species